rnacentral:rRNA from 1 species
CAGCCGCCGCGGUAAUACGUAGGUGGCAAGCGUUGUCCGGAAUUAUUGGGCGUAAAGGGCUCGCAGGCGGUUUCUUAAGUCUGAUGUGAAAGCCCCCGGCUCAACCGGGGAGGGUCAUUGGAAACUGGGAAACUUGAGUGCAGAAGAGGAGAGUGGAAUUCCACGUGUAGCGGUGAAAUGCGUAGAGAUGUGGAGGAACACCAGUGGCGAAGGCAACUCUCUGGUCUGUAACUGACGCUGAGGAGCGAAAGCGUGGGGAGCGAACAGGAUUAGAGACCCCGGUAGUCCCUGUCUCUUAUAC